rnacentral:rRNA from 1 species
AUUGAACGCUGGCGGCAUGCUUUACACAUGCAAGUCGAACGGUAACAGGUUAAGCUGACGAGUGGCGAACGGGUGAGUAAUGCAUCGGAACGUGCCCAGUCGUGGGGGAUAACGCAGCGAAAGCUGUGCUAAUACCGCAUACGAUCUAUGGAUGAAAGCGGGGGACCUUAGGGCCUCGCGCGAUUGGAGCGGCCGAUGUCAGACUAGGUAGUUGGUGGGUAAAGGCCCACCAAGCCAACGAUCUGUAGCUGGUCUGAGAGGACGACCAGCCACACUGGGACUGAGACACGGCCCAGACUCGUGAUGCU